AGAGUUUGAUCCUGGCUCAGGACGAACGCUGGCGGCGUGCUUAACACAUGCAAGUCGAACGGUGAACUCCGCUUGCGGGGGGAUCAGUGGCGAACGGGUGAGUAACACGUGGGCAACCUGCCCUCAGCUUUGGGAUAACUCCAAGAAAUUGGGGCUAAUACCGGAUAUGACCGCUGACCGCAUGGUCUGGUGGUGGAAAGAUUUAUCGGCUGGGGAUGGGCCCGCGGCCUAUCAGCUUGUUGGUGGGGUAGUGGCCUACCAAGGCGACGACGGGUAGCCGGCCUGAGAGGGUGACCGGCCACACUGGGACUGAGACACGGCCCAGACUCCUACGGGAGGCAGCAGUGGGGAAUAUUGCGCAAUGGGCGAAAGCCUGACGCAGCGACGCCGCGUGGGGGAUGACGGCCUUCGGGUUGUAAACCUCUUUCAGCAGGGACGAAGCGGAAGUGACGGUACCUGCAGAAGAAGCACCGGCCAACUACGUGCCAGCAGCCGCGGUAAUACGUAGGGUGCAAGCGUUGUCCGGAAUUAUUGGGCGUAAAGAGCUCGUAGGCGGUCUGCCACGUCGGCUGUGAAAUCCCGAGGCUCAACCUCGGGUCUGCAGUCGAUACGGGCAAACUAGAGUGUUGCAGGGGAGACUGGAAUUCCUGGUGUAGCGGUGAAAUGCGCAGAUAUCAGGAGGAACACCGGUGGCGAAGGCGGGUCUCUGGGCAACAACUGACGCUGAGGAGCGAAAGCGUGGGGAGCGAACAGGAUUAGAUACCCUAGUAGUCC
rnacentral:rRNA from 1 species